CGCGAAUGGCUCAUUACAACAGCUAUAAUUUACUUGAUCUUGACAAUCCUACUUGGAUAACUGUGGUAAUUCUAGAGCUAAUACGUGCACCAAAGCUCUGACCUUACGGGAAGAGUGCAUUUAUUAGAACAAAACCAAGCGGCUUCGGUCGUUUUUUGUUGACUCAGAAUAACUAAGCUGAUCGCAUGGUCUUGUACCGGCGACGUGUCUUUCAAGUAUCUGCCUUAUCAACUUUCGAUGGUAGUGUAUCUGACUACCAUGGUUGUGACGGGUAACGGAGGAUAAGGGUUCGACUCCGGAGAAGGGGCCUGAGAAAUGGCCACUACGUCUAAGGAUGGCAGCAGGCGCGCAAAUUACCCACUCUCAGAACGAGGAGGUAGUGACGAGAAAUAACGAGACCGUUCUCUACGAGGCCGGUCAUCGGAAUGGGUACAAUCUAAACCCUUUAACGAGUAUCUAUGAGAGGGCAAGUCUGGUGCCAGCAGCCGCGGUAAUUCCAGCU
rnacentral:rRNA from 1 species